AGAAGACAGACAGAAGGCGGCGGUGCUCCUCCUCCUCCUCAGUGGUUCCUUGCAGAUCAGGAUUUCGCAUCCCGGCCGUGGCCAUGAGGAUCCUUUACCUGCUGCUGGCUGUGCUCUUUGUGGUGCUGCAGGGCGUUGCAGGUGAGCCCUCCUUUUCCAGCCCUAUCCGUGCUUGUACAUUUCGAAGGGGAAUCUGCUUUCCUGGGCUGUGUCGGCCACCAUAUUACCGG